AUGCCCAAAACACCCCAUGGGUCCCAAAUCAUGAAAAUCAUAAAAACACUUAAAAUCAGCGUCACUGGCCGGCACGGUCCGUGUCAGGCGACACGGCCGCCUGUGUUGGCCAUCAGAAAUUUUCCUGCUCCAGGCAUGCUGACACGGCUCGUGUCAGGCGACACGACUGCCCGUGUCAGUCCCUGUUUUCCAGGAAUUCCAAGUCUUCCCCCCUGA